UACGAAGGGGGGCUAGCGUUGCUCGGAAUUACUGGGCGUAAAGCGCACGUAGGCGGUCUUUUUAAGUCGGGGGUGAAAUCCUGGAGCUCAACUCCAGAACUGCCUUCGAUACUGGAAGACUUGAGUCCGGGAGAGGUGAGUGGAACUGCGAGUGUAGAGGUGAAAUUCGUAGAUAUUCGCAAGAACACCAGUGGCGAAGGCGGCUCACUGGCCCGGUACUGACGCUGAGGUGCGAAAAGCGUGGGGGAGCAAACAGG
rnacentral:rRNA from 1 species